GUAGGUGGCAAGCGUUGUCCGGAAUUAUUGGGCGUAAAGCGCGCGCAGGCGGUCCUUUAAGUCUGAUGUGAAAGCCCACGGCUCAACCGUGGAGGGUCAUUGGAAACUGGGGGACUUGAGUACAGAAGAGGAAAGCGGAAUUCCAAGUGUAGCGGUGAAAUGCGUAGAGAUUUGGAGGAACACCAGUGGCGAAGGCGGCUCUCUGGUCUGUAACUGACGCUGAGGCGCGAAAGCGUGGGGAGCAAACAGGGAUUAGAUACCCUGGUAGUCCACGCCGUAAACGAUGAGUGCUAAGUGUUAGGGGGUUUCCCGCCCCUUAGUGCUGCAGCUAACGCAUUAAGCACUCCGCCUGGGGAUACGGCCGCAAGGCUG
rnacentral:rRNA from 1 species